UACGUAGGGGGCAAGCGUUGUCCGGAUUUAUUGGGCGUAAAGAGCGUGUAGGCGGCUUCACAGGUCCGUUGUGAAAACUCGAGGCUCAACCUCGAGACGCCGGUGGAAACCGUAAAGCUAGAGUCCGGAAGAGGAGAGUGGAAUUCCUGGUGUAGCGGUGAAAUGCGCAGAUAUCAGGAGGAACACCCGUGGCGAAAGCGGCUCUCUGGGACGGUACUGACGCUGAGACGCGAAAGCGUGGGGAGCAAACAGG
rnacentral:rRNA from 1 species